AUAGAGACUCAGAGCUGCAUAUCAAUAAGCGGAGGAAAAGAAACUAACUAGGAUUCCCUCAGUAACGGCGAGUGAAGCGGGAAGAGCUCAAAUUUGAAAUCUUCAAGGUUCUACCUUGACGAAUUGUAGUUUAAAGAAGUGUUUUCUGUUGGAGUUUUGGUAAAAGUUCUUUGGAAUAGGACAUCAUAGAGGGUGAGAAUCCCGUAUUUGACCAUUAUUUCCAGCUUUGUGAUACACUUUCAAAGAGUCGGAUUGUUUGGGAAUGCAGUCCAAAAUGGGUGGUAAAUUUCAUCUAAAGCUAAAUACUGGCGAGAGACCGAUAGCGAACAAGUACCGUGAGGGAAAGAUGAAAAGAACUUUGAAAAGAGAGUUAAACAGUACGUGAAAUUGUCAAAAGGGAAGCGUUUGACACCAGUGUUGUUUAUCUGGAAAUCAAUCUAUUCUGCGGUAUUUUUGUGAGGUUGAGACCUUAUCAGCUCCCCUUGCUCUUUAUGCCGCUGAUUGGAUGCACUUUCCUCUUAACAAGUCAACAUCAAUUUCUUUUGUUGUAAAAGGGUUGAUGGAAGGUGGCUUUCUUUUCGGAGAAAGUGUUUAUAGCCUUGUGCCUCUGCAAUCGGAGAGAUUGAGGUCUGCAGCGUAGAUCCUUCGGGGUUAGAUACGUUUAUGCUAAGUUAUAGCUUUUCAUAGACAACUUGUUGACUAUGUUUAGUCUUGUAGCUUACUCGCUGAUGCUAUUUUACCUACGCUUAGGAUGUUGAACUCUAUCACACACAG
rnacentral:rRNA from 1 species